AAAACAAAAAAAACAAAAGGACCCUAAACCGUGAAACUCAAAAACAUGACUCUGAGACUCUCUGCCUCGCCACUGUCCUCACACAAAACCACUCUCAGUGCCUUAUUCUCAAUGAGAAGUGAGAAUCGCACACCAAUCUUCUCUUCCUUCUCGGUUUCGCUCUCGCUCUCACAUUUCCAUCAUUCCAGGUUCUUCAUCGCUCAAAUCUCUUUCCAGUUUUCAUCUCAAUCUUAAUCGCGCUCUAAAUCCUUUUUCUCGGACAAGGUUGUGCUGAUUUCGAUUGAACUCAAUCGCGCUCUAGUAAUCAGGUUGAACUCGUAAUUCAUUGAUUUAGAAUCAAAGUUUCGAGGGUUUUCUUCGCCCAAUGACAUUAUCGGUUUCAGAUUUUGUACCUUUCAAAUAUGAAAGCAGAUGCUGUUCAAUUUAGUUCAAAAGAAAAUGGCCAAGAAAAUGUGGCGCUAAUUCCACAGCAUCCAUCACACGCUGAUUCCUACCACUUAUGCUAAAAUUGAGCGGUCACAAUUCAUAUUUAUGCCAGCUUUAAGGUUAGUAAUAAUUAACUACUCUAUUUUUACCUACUCUGACCAGGAGCAAGCAGUGCGAGUGGGCCAUAUGCUGUUUUUCUUUGCACAAAUGCUUCCCAUUUUGACCCAAAGUGUGCUUCCCACUCUUCCUGUGUGGUGUAAUGUGAGAAAUACGGCUUCACUCCAAAUUUGACAUUUGUGCAAAAUUCUAGUAUCCUUUUGUUUUGUGUUAGGAUGUGUUCUAAGCUCUCUGAGCCUCUUGAUAAUGGAAUUGCUGAAGAUAAAAAUGCCACUAGGUUACCUGAGUAUGGGGCUAUUGCGUGUGUCUUUGAGGAUAUUGCCAAAGACCUCUUGAGCAAAGUCAUGAAUGUGAGUCCUUGGGAUUAUUAGAAGGUUGAGCCAAGGGUGUGGAACUUCCCAUAAUCCCUUUUAUCUUAACUGUUUCUCAGAAACAUGCACUCUAUCUAGGAAUUGCACAUAAGAAACUUCUGAUUGGAAGAGACUAGUAAUGAAGAAUCAAUUCCAAAUUUCAAACAAUAUUUUCACCUUGACUAUCCUAAUUUUAUUUAUUUACCUUUUUAAUAUGAAUCCUUCAAUUCAUUUA